GACGAACGCUGGCGGCGUGCUUAACACAUGCAAGUCGAACGGAAAGGCCCUGCUUUUGUGGGGUGCUCGAGUGGCGAACGGGUGAGUAACACGUGAGUAACCUGCCCUUGACUUUGGGAUAACUUCAGGAAACUGGGGCUAAUACCGGAUAGGAGCUCCUGCUGCAUGGUGGGGGUUGGAAAGUUUCGGCGGUUGGGGAUGGACUCGCGGCUUAUCAGCUUGUUGGUGGGGUAGUGGCUUACCAAGGCUUUGACGGGUAGCCGGCCUGAGAGGGUGACCGGCCACAUUGGGACUGAGAUACGGCCCAGACUCGUACGGGAGGCAGCAGUGGGGAAUAUUGCGCAAUGGGCGGAAGCCUGAUGCAGCAACGCCGCGUGCGGGAUGACGGCCUUCGGGUUGUAAACCGCUUUCGCCUGUGACGAAGCGUGAGUGACGGUAAUGGGUAAAGAAGCACCGGCUAACUACGUG
rnacentral:rRNA from 1 species